rnacentral:lncRNA from 1 species
GGGUUUUAAGGAUUGGACGGUGGACCAAAGCUAGGCAUUACAGUUGGAAAGCGAGGAGUUGAAGAGCGAAACUGGAGGGAAUGGCAUAAUAGGCAGGUUGUUGGUGCCAUAGUGGAAUCUUUUAGAUAAGAGUUCGGACUCGGGUCUUGUUUGGUGCUUUUGGGGAGUCUUGAGUUAAUACUUAUAUGUUUGCUUCUUAUCGGUGUUGGUUGAAGUAUUAGAAGCGAAAGAGUGGAGCGGCAGUGUUGUUGGAGGGGAGUAAGCCUAAUGAGCAGUAAAGUGAGACUCUAUCCCCCGGGCGCGAUGUGAUAUCUGUGUUUGACUUCCCCGUUAGUGGAAUAAACCCCAUAAGUAGCAGUGAAAUUCCUUAUGGGCCCACCAAUGGCCAUACUGAGAAUUCUUAGGCAAAUGUAGCUAUGCCGAUCCCUACGCUCCAUUUACAUUCUUUGACGUAUAAGUUGACUUCUGUAUUUAUAGCUGUAGUCUUUAGGGCAGUGUAUUAGUCUCCCUAUUAUGUAUUUUGAGUUGAGUUCCGGUGCUCCUGGUGAAGUCUAUCUUUUUGCCAGCCCAACUCUUGAACUUACUUAUUUGAUUCUCUAUUAUGAGAUGGAUAAAGUAUGGCUAGGCAGUGGUAUCCGGUAGUAUAGUCCAUUCUUUGAUGCCUGUGUUCCUGUCUUUUUAGUAGCGAUUCCAUUCUUUCUAGUAGUAUGAGUAUUCUGAUUCGUGGAGGUAGUUAUUAAGCAUCGGUGUAAAUUCCUUAUUCUAAGACAAGGUAAUAGAAGGCAUUGUUCUAGUUUGAAAGCAAGGGGGAUCAGAUUGGAGUUCCCAGCUUAAUGCUUAGGAGUCAGUAGUCAAAGAUUUGAACUCAGUGAAUCAAACUCACAAGCAAGUAAUCCAACUCGAAAGCAAUAGAACGAAACAAAGUUGUAAAAGCCUUAUUAACUUCACUAAGCAGUCCAGGCCUUACUCACCAGCUUGACGAGCCUACUAUUCCUUACUGGAAAUCCGUUUCAAACUAACAAACUACCCCGGCAUUCAAUACGGAAUCUGACUUAUAUCCUUUACAUAUUGAUGAACUAUUCAGUGCCUAAGACAACCAUCACUACUAGAGGAACCGAACCGAUCUCAGAAUGGAGCUCCUCGCAAAUGGACUACAACUACCAACUAGUAGAAUCAAAUACAACCCCCAACAAAAAGGAAUAGAGACAUCAACACAAGAGAGGGGAUCAAACAACUAAGUGGAAGUACUCGUCUGGGUAAUCAAACUCUUAAGUCAUAAUUCGAGGAGUAGGCCAAGUAGACUAAUCUCCUAUCUGAUACAUAGGAAUAUGAAUAGAAAGUCAGAAUGAAACACAGAAGUAUUGAUCCAGUAGGGCUAUUACUAUGACUAUUAUGAGAAUAGAAUAGAUAGCUAAGUCACUUACCUACUGUUCUAUUCUAAUAUCAGUGAAAGGAAUAAUGAAACGCAGUUAACAGAAUCCAUUAAGAACACUGAAUAAUUACAAGCAAAUGCAGAAGAAAUUCAUAUAUAUGACAUAUGAAUAAGGCAUUGAAUAAAGAACAAAAGAGAGAUGGAAAGCAAAGGGCAGCGUCAGCUGCUGGCUGGAGUGUUAGUUAUCGAAUAAAAGCAAAGAGAGGGCAGCAAAGCAGCUGGCAGUGGUUAGAGAAAGAAGAUGGUCAUUAUUUGUUAUAGUAGUAGCAGCCUUGUUAGCAGUGACUUCAGUCUUACCGCUGGGGGGGGCUAUUCCAUUAUGAUUAUCUGUUUGUAAAGGUGGAGUUCCUAGUGUCAGUCUUUUAUUGCACCGUUGAGAGCCCUGUUUCGAGUUUGAUGCCUUCAAUACCCUUCCCUUAUUCGAGUUUCGUGUGUAAGGGCGUGCUACAUAACAAGGAGAUGUGGAUUAAGUGCCCAAGUCGUUAGAGUGGAAGUCAAGAUCCGGAUCACUAGAGAAAGAAUAAGAGCCCAGGCAGUAAGAGUGAAAGAUAAGAGUGGAAGAGUCGAAGGUGCUCCGCGGGAAUUAGGUCAGUUGUACAAGAGUCAAGGGCAUUAGUGGAAGUGAAAAGCAAGUAAGUGAAUACUUCUAUAUGCUAUAUAGGUUUUGUUAGCCCCUAAAGCAGUAGUGCCAGUGUCUUGUUAGCCUGGGUGCAAUUUCGCUUAUCGAUAUAGCGAUUUCAGUCCUGUUAUUGGUGUUCAUAUUCCCCAGUUGCGAGUUCAAUUGUUAUCAGUACAAGAUCAAUUCUGUCUUUUCUUGGUUUGGUCUGUGACUUCCCAAUUUAACCCUGUGAAACCCUUCUAAGACGGACUUUCCUGCCUGUCAGACUCGUAGUUGUCCCGGGUUGUUAUUGAUGAUUCAGUUAUCUUAUAAUGAUUACAUGCCUUCCGAGCAAAGAGAUGGGUUCGGUAAUAAUAAAGUCGUAAUAUACAGAUACAGAAAACCACUAUUCACUACAGAACAAAACAAAACCACCAACCAAGACAAGAACAUAGGGUAAACUACCAAGUGGAGCUGUAGCCAAGCCUUAUUAUUUCACAUCGAUCCAAAUCUGACUCACCAGAGGGCGAGCGUACAGUCGUACUCACCGGUAGCGCCAAGCCUUCCGUUCCUUAGAUAGAGUUUCCCUCUCCCUGCCUUAAGCCGUCCUCUCCUAUCUAUUAUUCUCUGCUGCUUUUUGACUUAUAUGUAUCAUAUGGUAUAGUUCAUUUACUUAUAUUGAAAAUAGGAUCCAGCACCCCGAGGCAAUAGAAUCAAACUUGUAAUAAUCAUAAUGAACUUGACAAGUAGUCAAUCUUACUCACCGGAUAGAUAGUUGUGAUCUUACUUCUGACUUUGACUCUAAUAGUUGUCCCGGGCAUUCUCUCACCUAAUAUGGUUUUCUAUGAUUUCUUUUAUUGAUAUUUGUUUUUUAUAUGAGAAAUCAGAAUUCCAUUCAAAAGUCAGGAUCCCUGUCCUUGGAUACAAGCUCUAAGGCGAAUAGGAAGAACCUAAUCCCAAGUUGAUUCUUUCCAUGUGUGUUGGUCGGUCAUUCUUAUUGAUAUUGGUUGGAUUCCUGUGUUCCCGUAAAGGUAUUCGAAGUAUUAGUGGCGGGUUUGGUCUGUAGUAGUUGCUCGCCUAGUGGAGUUUCUAGGCUUUCAGCACCUUGCUAGCGGUAGUUCCAUUCUUCUGGGUAUUGUGGUCCAAGUCUAUAGGUGGAAAUACGGAAUGAGUGUUUGAGUUGUAAGCCUGAUCUAAAGCAGUAGAAGCCUAAAGUAAGUAAAGGCAAGCUCAUAGGCAUUAGUGAAAGGAUCUGGUAUUUGUUGAAAGCAAGGGCCAAGCGUAUACUACAGUAGCGCGUAAGCUUAUUGACCCACUACGAGGUAAAGUCAAAAGGAAAGGAAGUUUAUAGAGCAUUAAGUAGAGGUUGGCGCUAAGAGAAGAGGUGUGUGUUGUCUUGGAGAGGGCUUUUACUCAAACUUAUAUGCUCGGCGAGAUGGAUUCCAUUCAUUCUGUUUAUGCUAGUUCUCAGAGUAUAAGUGAGAAGUCAGGAGUCAGCAGCAAGUUAGUAGGUUAUUUACCACAUUCUAGAUGUUGCGCUAGAUUCAUUUCUUUUGACUCACUUUCGAGUAGAGUUAAGAAAGCCUAAGAACGUUAUAGCUUCCGGGUUGGCUUUAAUCGUGAGUGUAAUCCUAUGAUACUUAUGAAUGGAAUGAGUUUUCUCGUGAGGAUAAUCUCUUUGCGAACAAAUGCCCACUACAAGUUAGGCGAAAGAACAAGUUAACUGUGAGGAAGCAAGGUAACAAGCGGAAUUCUUAUUGUGUUCAGGCGAUCGGUCCCUUAGUUAUUGGUUUUAAGCAAUGCGGUGUGUGUUAGAUUACUUCUUUCUAUCUAGUCUAGAAUGGGUUAACUAUUCUUAUUAUCUGCUCUAAGAAUCAAUUCUGUAUCUUAAGUUCUCCGUGCGAGUUCCACUAUCCGCUCUCGGGUCGCUAACACUUAUUGUUGGAGCGGGUGCCGAUAUGAUUGUCUUAGCCGAUAUUCCUUUCUGGAUUGAAGAUGUUGUUCCCUGAUUCCUUUGUUGAUUUAAGGUGUUGUUCCCUGAUUCCUUUGUUGAUUUAAGGUGUUGUUCCCUGAUUUCUGUGUUUCCCGCUGCCUUUCCUUGAUACUUAACUGCUUCAGAAGGCUGGCUUCUUUCUCGUACUUAGCGCUUCAACUUAGUCACUCGCUAAUAUGGAGCUGAGCUUCUUUCUCGGUGUUGCUUUCAGGUCAUCUUGAGAGUCGUAACACCCAGGGGAAACUCCUUCCUCUUAUGGUCCACGUAGCUGUUAUGAAAGUUCGGAAUGGAAUUGAAACAAGCAAAAGAAUGGAAUUGAGGCCUUGCUCCAGCCGACUUCGUAAGCGCAAGACGUUGUGCGUUGUUGAGCUCGCAAGGACAAGAAAAGAGUCUUAUAUUGCAUUGCUUUCUUACCGGGGCGGGGCCUAGCGCUUGUUUCAUUUCUUG